AUUGAACGCUGGCGGCAUGCCUUACACAUGCAAGUCGAACGGUAACAGGGAGCUUGCUCCGCUGACGAGUGGCGAACGGGUGAGUAAUGUAUCGGAACGUACCAUUCAGUGGGGGAUAACGUAGCGAAAGUUACGCUAAUACCGCAUAUUCUGUGAGCAGGAAAGCAGGGGAUCGCAAGACCUUGCGCUGAUUGAGCGGCCGAUAUCAGAUUAGCUAGUUGGUGAGGUAAAGGCUCACCAAGGCGACGAUCUGUAGCGGGUCUGAGAGGAUGAUCCGCCACACUGGAACUGAGACACGGUCCAGACUCCUACGGGAGGCAGCAGUGGGGAAUUUUGGACAAUGGGGGGCAACCCUGAUCCAGCCAUGCCGCGUGAGUGAAGAAGGCC
rnacentral:rRNA from 1 species